rnacentral:rRNA from 1 species
AGCAGCCGCGGUAAUUCCAGCUCCAAUAGCGUAUAUUAAAGUUGUUGCAGUUAAAAAGCUCGUAGUUGAAUUUCGGGGCCAGUAGGUUGGUCGUGCCACUGGUAUGCACUGGCCUUACUGGUCCCUCCCUCUUGUAGAACCGUGAUGCCAUUAAUUUGGUGUUGCGGGGAAACAGGACUGUUACUUUGAAAAAUUAGAGUGCUUAAAGCAGGCUCGCGCUUGAAUACAUUAGCAUGGAAUAACGGAAUAGGACGAUCGAACCUAUUUUGUUGGUUUCUAGGAUUGACGUAAUGAUUAAUAGGGAUAGUUGGGGGCAUUAGUAUUCAAUUGUCAGAGGUGAAAUUCUUGGAUUUAUUGAAGACUAACUACUGCGAAAGCAUUUGCCAAGGAUGUUUUCAUUAAUCAAGAACGAAAGUUAGGGGAUCGAAGACGAUCAGAUACCGUCGUAGUCUUAACCAUAAACUAUGCCGACUAGGGAUCGGAUGAAGUUAAUUUUUAAUGACUCAUCCGGCGCCUUACG